rnacentral:lncRNA from 1 species
AACACUGGAAUUUCGGACCUCAAACUCAAAACCAACUUGAACUUCAUACCGAUCUUCCUUUGAAAACCAAAAUCAAGAGAAAGAAAUAAACACUGAAUAGAUUCUGUUUGAACGAUUUUUGUUUGAAAUUUCUCUUGAAAUGAAGUAAACUCGACUGAAGAGAUUGGACUCAAACCAUUGUGCUCUUUGUUUUUUUUUUUGUAUGUUUUCUGGAAAAAAAAGGAAGAAGAAAGUUUGAAGAAGUGACAACUAAAAAAAACCUAGAAAUUUCGACUAAGUUUUCUGAAGUUUUAUCCGAUUUUUUCUGAUUUCUUCUUCUUCUUCUUCUUCUUCUUCUUCUAGCACAUAGAACUUACCUCAUAUAUAUAGCUUUCAGAAAUGUCCAAAAAUCUGCCCAAAUUUGAAAAAUCCUUCAAAUUCUUGAACAAUUUUUGUAGGCGUGGAUUGAUUCACAGGCUCCCAUUCAUCCAAUAAAUCGUUCUUUUUGUACAAAAAUCCGCAGUUUUGAGGGAAUAAUCGUACUCCUCUCUGACAAAUCUGUUGGGAAAUAGAGGUGACGUGGAGAGGGGGACCGACUUGAAUGAGCUCGCUCGAAACUCAGGCGAGUUGAAGCCAAGCUCAGUGAAGAAGAAGCACAGUAGCACCGCUUCUCUGAUUUCUC